CGGCAUCCCUUGUUGAUAGCGAGCAGUCCACCCGCAUCCCCGCAAGCUGCUCGUCUACACCGAGGGAGAGAA
rnacentral:snoRNA from 2 species